rnacentral:rRNA from 1 species
UUUUUGAUUAAUAAUUUAAAGUCUAAUCUGCCCACUGAUAAUUUAUUAAAGGGCUGCAGUAUUUUGACUGUACAAAGGUAGCAUAAUCAAUAGUCUCUUAAUUGGUGACUUGUAUGAAAGAUUUAAUGAGAUAUAUACUGUCUCUUUUUAAUUUAUAAAAUUUAAUUUUUUAGUUAAAAAGCUAAAAUAAAUUUAAAAGACGAGAAGACCCUAUAGAGUUUUAUAUUUAAAUAAAUUGAAAUUAUAUAUAAAAUUUAAAAUUUUAAUUUAUAAUAAAUAUUUUAUUGGGGUGAUAAAAAAAUUAAAAGAACUUUUUUUUAUAAAUUUACAUUAAUAAAUGAAUAAAGGAUCCGUAAUUUACGAUUAAAAGAAAAAAUUACCUUAGGGAUAACAGCGUAAUUUUUUUUUUUAGUUCAAAUAAGAAAAAAAGUUUGCGACCUCGAUGUUGGAUUAAGAUAAAAUUUAAAUGCAAAAGUUUAAAAUUUUUGAUCUGUUCGAUCAUUAAAAUCUUACA